GUGAAUCAUCGAAUCUUUGAACGCACAUUGCGCCCCCUGGCAUUCCGGGGGGCAUGCCUGUCCGAGCGUCAUUUCUGCCCUCAAGCACGGCUUGUGUGUUGGGUGCGGUCCCCCCGGGGACCUGCCCGAAAGGCAGCGGCGACGUCCGUCUGGUCCUCGAGCGUAUGGGGCUCUGUCACUCGCUCGGGACGGACCUGCGGGGGUUGGUCACCACCAUAUUUUACCACGGUUGACCUCGGAUCAGGUAGGAGUUACCCGCUGAACUUAAGCAUAUCAAUAAGCGGAGGA
rnacentral:misc_RNA from 1 species